AUCCCGCUCGUGACGGUGAUUGCUUCUGGCGUCACCAUCAUACCUCCCUGUUGGACUAUGGCCGAGCUUAGUGCUCGGCCUUUUUU
rnacentral:ncRNA from 1 species